UUCCUUUGGGGGAGGGGACGCGCGCACAGUUUCGCCUGUUUCGCUCGCGCUGUCUCAUCGCUGUGUGAGAAUGGAGGUUUCAUGAUGUCAGCAGAAGGUCACGUGAGAGCAGGUGGCAACAUAUUUGAGGUUUGCAUUGACUGUCUUUGAAAACUGCUGGACAGAUACUUGCAUAACUACAUGCCAUGUGCCACCAGUCACCCUUCACAAGGGAAGAGGAAACUUCACAUGUGGCUGGAUAGGCCUAGCUCCCUGAGCUCCAGGUAUUCCAAUCCACAUCGGGAUUGAUCAAGUCACAGCUUUGAGCACAAACUCAGACUGAAUGUACACCCAGCUGGAGUUCCCUGUGAUAAAGGCUUCAGAUAAAUAUUAAAACCUUCCAACAUCACUGAUAGCCAUGGCUAAUCCCUUAAAAUGAGAUUUGAAGCAGAUGUGUGUGACACUUCAAUGGGGAUCAGCUCAAAGGACCUUGACACUUUCCCGUAAGCAAACAAUGCCUCAC
ensembl:lncRNA